UGGUGCAAGCGGAGAACACUUACCAGUUUCUAUCAAAUGUUUAGAACACUUUGGUGCAAGUGUUCUCUGGUGCUAUGUUUAUAGAAUAAGUUCUAAUGGGUUCUGGUGGACGGACGCGCCACUUUCAUUUAGUAGACUCGUCAGAGAAGUUUUGUACGCCGUCACUAAAGCGCCGACGUGACUUUGACGCAGCGGAGAUUCGAUCACUUCGCUGAAAAUACUCGCGAAGGUGUCAUCUGAGGCGUCUGUGACAACUGGAGUCAUGGUAUCAUCGGUACGCACCAACGCGCAACGUCAAACGCGCACAAUGGACGGCACACGUACGUCGAAAUGUGUGCAUUUACCGUCAAGCAGCCAACAUUCGGAGGUGGACUGCAUUCCUGCUGGCAGUGCACCGACGUGAUCAAGGACAAGAGAAACAUGAAAACACACCUUUGGAU